AACGUAGGGUGCGAGCGUUAUCCGGAUUUAUUGGGCGUAAAGGGCACGCAGGCGGUUCUGCAAGUCGGACGUGAAAGCCUCUGGCUUAACUGGGGGAGGUCGUUCGAGACUGCGGGACUUGAGGUCGGGAGAGGGGUGUGGAAUUCCCGGUGUAGUGGUGGAAUGCGUAGAGAUCGGGAGGAACACCAGUGGCGAAGGCGGCACCCUGGCCCGCACCUGACGCUGAGGUGAGAAAGCGUGGGGAGCGAACGGG
rnacentral:rRNA from 1 species